rnacentral:rRNA from 1 species
AACCCUUGUCCUUAGGUUACCAGCACGUUAUGGUGGGCACUCUAAGGAGACUGCCGGUGACAAACCGGAGGAAGGUGGGGAUGACGUCAAGUCAUCAUGGCCCUUACGGCCUGGGCUACACACGUGCUACAAUGGUCGGUACAAAGGGUUGCCAAGCCGCGAGGUGGAGCUAAUCCCAUAAAACCGAUCGUAGUCCGGAUCGCAGUCUGCAACUCGACUGCGUGAAGUCGGAAUCGCUAGUAAUCGUGAAUCAGAAUGUCACGGUGAAUACGUUCCCGGGCCUU